UAGCACAUUGGUAAGUGCUAGGCUGCUAACCUAAAGGUUGGCAGUUCAAACCUGCC
rnacentral:tRNA from 1 species